rnacentral:miRNA from 1 species
UGUAGAGAAUGGUGAGUAUGCU